rnacentral:rRNA from 1 species
UACGUAGGGUGCGAGCGUUGUCCGGAAUUAUUGGGCGUAAAGGGCUCGUAGGCGGUCUGUUGCGUCGGGAGUGAAAACUCAGGGCUUAACCCUGAGCCUGCUUCCGAUACGGGCAGACUAGAGGUAUGCAGGGGAGAACGGAAUUCCUGGUGUAGCGGUGAAAUGCGCAGAUAUCAGGAGGAACACCGGUGGCGAAGGCGGUUCUCUGGGCAUUACCUGACGCUCAGGCGCGAAAGCUAGGGGAGCGAACUGG